rnacentral:rRNA from 1 species
UGGGGAAUUUUGGACAAUGGGGGAAACCCUGAUCCAGCCAUUCCGCGUGAGUGAAGAAGGCCUUCGGGUUGUAAAGCUCUUUUGUCCGGAACGAAACGGUUAGGUCUAAUAAGCCUGACUACUGACGGUACCGGAAGAAUAAGCACCGGCUAACUACGUGCCAGCAGCCGCGGUAAUACGUAGGGUGCGAGCGUUAAUCGGAAUUACUGGGCGUAAAGCGUGCGCAGGCGGUUUUGUAAGCCAGAUGUGAAAGCCCCGGGCUUAACCUGGGAAUGGCAUUUGGGACUGCAAGGCUUGAGUGCGGCAGAGGAGACUGGAAUUCCUGGUGUAGCAGUGAAAUGCGUAGAUAUCAGGAGGAAUACCGAUGGCGAAGGCAGGUCUCUGGGCUGACACUGACGCUCAUGCACGAAAGCGUGGGGAGCAAACAG